GAGCGUGUGUGUGUGUGUGUGUGUGUGUGUGUGCCCACAUGUGCACACCCGUGCAUGCCCCCAAAAG
rnacentral:pre_miRNA from 1 species